rnacentral:rRNA from 1 species
UACGGGGGGGGCAAGCGUUGUUCGGAAUUACUGGGCGUAAAGGGCUCGUAGGCGGCCAACUAAGUCGGAUGUGAAAUCCCCAGGCUUAACCUGGGAACUGCAUCCGAUACUGGAUGGCUUGAAUUCGGGAGAGGGAUGCAGAAUUCCGGGUGUAGCGGUGGAAUGCGUAGAGAUCCGGAAGAACACCGGUGGCGAAGGCGGCCUGCUGGGCAGUUGCUGACACUGAGGCGCGACAGCGUGGGGAGCAAACAGG